AGACACUUCUUAGGCAGAUAUUGGUGCCACCAAGAGCAGCAACAGCCCAAGGGAAGCACCAUCCAUUGCACCUAAACAUUUCGACCGUCCAUAGAAAAACAGGCAUUUUUCUCAUGUCACUCUGAAAAAUUGCUCCCAGUGAAUUCAGGUACACAGCUCUGUGGCUGUACACAACUCCUUUGGGAUUACCUGUUGACCCAGAAGUGUAACUCACUGAAAUCGGGUCACACUCAUUGUUGGGUCUGAGAAUCUGAAAACCGGGUUCUGCUGGUUCCUGUAGGUCAUUGUAAUUUAUGGCACCUAAUGGAAGAUCAAGAUCAAUAUGAGAAGAUGAUGAUGAUUGGUCACAUUCUGGGAUUAGAAUGAGGAGAGGUGGCUUGGAGUUGGAGUUUGAUUGGGACAAAAUGUCAACUGCUUGGAGGACAACUUCAAGGUACUGAUGAUCUACAAGAAUGGCUUUGGCUUCCAAUUGUUGUAAUAUCAAAGUUAAUGCGGGUGCGUGCAGCCUAAUGUUAAGUGCACAAAGGACUGCUCCUGCCAUUGGAAUGCUGAAAUGUAACUCAUAGAGUGCUGGAAUGUUU
rnacentral:lncRNA from 1 species